rnacentral:lncRNA from 1 species
GAGUUGGGGGAGAGGACCAGAACCACCUGCUGGAGAAGGGGAGCUACGGGGGCCGGGCAGGGUCCAAACGCCUCACGUAGGCGGCGGCGCCACGGUCUUCGGGGUCACAGGGAAGAGAAGGGCUCUCCUCAAGCGGGUGGAAGGAGGGAGGCCUCCCGAGGGAGUGAGACUCUAGGCCACUCCCCCGCAGCAAGGCAGGAUCACCUGCGACGCGGAGAGCGGUUAGAGGGCCCUGGAGUGGAAAAGGGCAGUGGGACCUGGUAGCUUGGGUUCCCUGCAACUUGGGGUUCGACCUCCAGGCAAUGAAGUAGGGAUGGUCCUGCAAGUCAAGAUUCCAGUAGCAAGAGUGCAUCAGAUCUCUGUAAGGAAAAUAACUAACAUUGCUCAGUUCCCUGUAGAGUUGCAGGGCGCUUUAACGUUAUCUCCCUUGGUUCUCCAUCAGGUCGUAGUGGACUAAUUUUACAGGCGAAGUUAAGUGACUUACCCAAAACCUCACAGCUAAUAAACGGCAGAGCCGGCACCCAGCUGUACUGGCUUCCAAUUCUGUUAGCUUACCAGCGCAUCACAUUAUCUCCAUAAAUCCCCAUGAUUCAACUAAUAUUAGACGCCCCACAGGUAAGAUGCUUCAGAGUUAGAGGGGAGUUGAAGAUACCUUUGCCUUCAAAGAAGUAAGGAAUAAAACAAAGAUAAAACAGACAAUAAAAGACAAACCAUGAUAGGUGCCACGUGAAAAGUGGCAGAGUACUGCCGGGAAUCAAAGAACCGUGUAUAUCUGUCUUGGGGAUAAGGAAAGAAAGGCAGCAUGAAGGAGUAGGCAUUUGGGAUUGACCUUGAAGGAGACAGGGAGAGUUUUACAGCAAGCAGGGAUAGCAUGAGAAUAUAUAUGAAGGCGAAUCAGUGAAAGUUGUGUUGGGGAAAGAGCAAAGACUCCAGGGUAUGUUGAGAGGUAGAAAAGACAAAGGAGUAUGGGGCCUAAGAUACCAAAUGGAUGAAUUUAUAUUUAAUUCAGUAUUUUGAGUUUUUAUGGUUCAGAAGUUUGGGGGAAGAAAAGGAAGGUUUUUUUUUUUCUUUGUGCUAGUGAUUUAUCUGUGAGGGGAAGCAGAAAUCAGAGGUGGAAAAACGGACAGAUCUACUGUAGGCCAGGUAAAAAUGAUGAGUCUGACCUAAAGGGACAGCUAGGGGAAUUUAAAAGAGCAUAGUUGAGAGAUGAUGUGCAUGCAGUAUCUAUAGAAUUUGGCAACUGAUUGAUUAAUUGUGGGUAGGAAGAGAGAAAUCAAAGAAAGUGGAGGUUUUGAGUUUGUAGAUAAUUGCAAGAGAGAAAAGAGACAAUUACAAAGGAGAGGGAGCUACUUCUUGAGAGAUCAGUUUAGAUUUGGACAUUUUAAGAAUUCAAAGGGUUGUCAAGACAGCCAGAGAGACAUGGACACUAAUAAGUUAGAAAUAAAGGUUUUGUAAUAUGGGAAAGAGGACUGAACUAGAAAAUAGACUCAUAAAUAAUCAGCCUAGGAGUGAUAUUGCUGUGAGAUAAAAGAAGAAAACAAAGGUCAGAAUCUUGGAAAACACCCUCUUUAGAGUCUCGCUACUCAAAACGUGGUCAGUGGCCCAGCAGCACUGACAUGAGGAUGUUAGUUAGAAACUCAGAAUCUCAGGCUCCACCCCAGACCUGCUGAACCAGCAUCUUCAACUUAACAAGAACCCGAAGAGAUUUGUGUCACAUCAAAAAGUUUGAGAAGCUCUGAUCUAGGUGAGCCAAGCCAGCAAAGAAAGGGGAUGGAGCAGAAAAUGGGAGGAGAAUAGGGUAACGCAGAAUCAUCAAGACAAGGUAAAUUGGAGUUUCACAAAAACAGGGCUGGAAGGAGUGUUGCUCAACAAUAUCCAAAACCACAGAGGUUGAAAAGCACAAGGAAAGAAGGUAUGUUUGCACUUUGUGAUUAGGUAGUAGGGUCUUUGAGACCACAUUGUUCUUAUUGAAAGCCUGGGAAGAAAGAUCCCCUUUCUGGUCAAGUUUAGUCUAGGGAUCCAUCCCAUCUUCCCCAGUUCCCACGUGUAUGGGACAUGUCGAGAUAAGUAGAUAGAUUGGACAGUGGGAGAAAGUAGUUCUCUUCCAGUUGCUUCUAUUUUCUCAGCAAAGUGAGGAGCAAGAUCAUUUUGGCAGACUGCUAAUUGUCCAUCACAAUUUAGUCUCCCUUUCUCCCUGAAAACACAGACUGCUUUUCUCAGCCUCUCUUUCAGUUGCAUAUGGUCAAGUAUUAAGUUAUAGAACGUGAGCAGAUGUUAUGUCUGCCACUGUCAGGCCAAGGCGUUUACUUUGAGAGUACUUGUGCCUCUUUCAUGCAUUUUCCUUUCUGCCAGCUGGACCCUGGACACGGUGACUCUGAUUCAAUUAUGCAGAUGACCACAAACCUCUGGGGUUGGCAGAGCCACAAGAAAGAAGGUGCCUGGAUGAAGGAGAGCUACCCACUGACCUGGACACCCAAUUAUAGGAUAGACAGUGAAGUGCAACUACAGCCCGCAAAUGAAAAUGAAUAAUAUUAAUCCAGCCCCUCAAGGCAGGCGAGUAGCUGCUGUCAUCUGUCUUAGAGCUAUUGGAAUCCUGGAUCAUUGUGGGAAAUGAAAGAUACUUCGAUGGAAUCAGCAGCCAUUGAUCCAAUGCCAACUCCAAGACUGGAACGUCGCAAUGAUAGUUCCAAGGCGGAAAUUUGACGUAAUUCUUUUCGACACAGUUUUACAGGCAUCUUGCAUGUGAAUAACUCACAACUUUAAUUCAUGGAACAAAUUGAGAAAUAGUCUUUUGGGGGUUUGGUACUCCCUGGAAACAUAAGAGUGCUUUGGGCACCUCUGGUGCCUUUCCAUGCCUGCCUUCUCUGCUGUUCUUGCUACUAGUGAAUUCUAAAUCAUGGCCAAGUGAUGCCAGCACUGGAUAAUAUUGGCUCUGCCCCAUAUCUCGAGGGAAAACUCUAGGACUUGGCAUUAUAUGUGUGGGAAUCUGGCCUUGGUUGGCACUCCCAGCAUGAUAGCGGGGUUCUCCUGUCUGAAUGUACUCUGGGGUGUGCGCCACAAUUUCUGUCAUCGAAAUGGAGAUGAGAGAAUAUGCCCUUGGUGGGGACACCCCACUGGAAUUAGAGUGAAGAGAUCAAAGCUAGAGGUUCUUAAAUCAAAGAAUAUCUAAUAGCAAAGACAAAAACUUGCUUAAGGGAAAUGCAUACAAGUACUAGACCUAAUAUGAUGAAAAAUGCCAACUUCAAUAUAUUGAUGCAUGCUUAGUACACUUUCAGUCCUGCAAAGACAAAGUUUUUUGUUGUUUUUUUUUUGAGACGGAGUCUCGCUCUGUCGCCCAGGUUGGAGUGC